AAGCCUGUGAACAGACACAGAACCUGAGCUCUGAGGCCUGCAGCCCAGUUUGCACUUGAACUAUGAGAUCAGUGACAGGAAUAACCAUUCUCCUGACCUUGGGUAUUAUGGGUGAUGCUAAGUCCACACAGCCAGAUGCAAUGGAGAGUACUGAGGGACAACCCGUGCACCUGCCCUGUGACCACCCCAAAAUCAGUACAAAUGAGUUCAUAACCUGGUAUCGACAGAUUCCUCACCAAGGUCCAGAGCAUGUGAUUAACGGUGUAAAAGAUAAUAAGACUAAUGAAAUGGCCACUCUGGUCAUCACAACAGGCAGAAAGUCCAGUACCUUGAUCCUGCCCCAGGUCACCCUGAGAGACUCUGCUGUGUACUACUGCAUCGUGAGAGACCCACAGUGGGGCGGAUGGGGCUGCACCUGCACAAUAUCUCCCUGGGGUGGGGGUGCAGGGGAGCAGCAGCAGCAUCCUAGGGGUCACUGCAUGAGAAUGAGCAGAUGCUCAAUAGAAAAAGAAGAAAGGUAA